CACAUGCAGUCGAACGAGAGAAGAGAAGCUUGCUUUUCUGAUCUAGUGGCGGACGGGUGAGUAACACGCGAGCAAUCUGCCUUUCAGAGGGGGAUACCGAUUGGAAACGAUCGUUAAUACCGCAUAAUAUAAUUGAACCGCAUGAUUUGAUUAUCAAAGAUUUAUCGCUGAAAGAUGAGCUCGCGUCUGAUUAGCUAGUUGGUAAGGUAACGGCUUACCAAGGCGACGAUCAGCAGCCGGACUGAGAGGUUGAUCGGCCACAUUGGGACUGAGACACGGCCCAGACUCCUACGGGAGGCAGCAGUGGGGAAUAUUGCACAAUGGAGGAAACUCUGAUGCAGCGAUGCCGCGUGAGGGAAGAAGGUUUUAGGAUUGUAAACCUCUGUCUUCAGGGACGAAAAAAGACGGUACCUGAGGAGGAAGCUCCGGCUAACUACGUGCCAGCAGCCGCGGUAAUACGUAGGGAGCGAGCGUUGUCCGGAAUUACUGGGUGUAAAGGGAGCGUAGGCGGGAUCGCAAGUCAGAUGUGAAAACUAUGGGCUUAACCCAUAAACUGCAUUUGAAACUGUGGUUCUUGAGUGAAGUAGAGGUAAGCGGAAUUCCUAGUGUAGCGGUGAAAUGCGUAGAUAUUAGGAGGAACAUCAGUGGCGAAGGCGGCUUACUGGGCUUUAACUGACGCUGAGGCUCGAAAGCGUGGGGAGCAAACAGGAUUAGAUACCCUGGUAGUCCACGCCGUAAACGAUGAUUACUAGGUGUGGGGGGACUGACCCCUUCCGUGCCGCAGCAAACGCAAUAAGUAAUCCACCUGGGGAGUACGACCGCAAGGUUGAAACUCAAAGGAAUUGACGGGGGCCCGCACAAGCAGUGGAGUAUGUGGAUUAAUUCGAAGCAACGCGAAGAACCUUACCAGGUCUUGACAUCGUAUGCAUAGCUCA
rnacentral:rRNA from 1 species